GGGGGCGUAGCUCAGUUGGUAGAGCGCUGCAUUCGCAUUGCAGAGGUAAGGGGUUCGAAUCCCCUCGUCUCCACCA
rnacentral:tRNA from 1 species